rnacentral:rRNA from 1 species
GAUGAACGCUGGCGGCGUGCCUAAUACAUGCAAGUCGAGCGAACGGACGAGAAGCUUGCUUCUCUGAUGUUAGCGGCGGACGGGUGAGUAACACGUGGAUAACCUACCUAUAAGACUGGGAUAACUUCGGGAAACCGGAGCUAAUACCGGAUAAUAUUUUGAACCGCAUGGUUCAAAAGUGAAAGACGGUCUUGCUGUCACUUAUAGAUGGAUCCGCGCUGCAUUAGCUAGUUGGUAAGGUAACGGCUUACCAAGGCAACGAUGCAUAGCCGACCUGAGAGGGUGAUCGGCCACACUGGAACUGAGACACGGUCCAGACUCCUACGGGAGGCAGCAGUAGGGAAUCUUCCGCAAUGGGCGAAAGCCUGACGGAGCAACGCCGCGUGAGUGAUGAAGGUCUUCGGAUCGUAAAACUCUGUUAUUAGGGAAGAACAUAUGUGUAAGUAACUGUGCACAUCUUGACGGUACCUAAUCAGAAAGCCACGGCUAACUACGUGCCAGCAGCCGCGGUAAUACGUAGGUGGCAAGCGUUAUCCGGAAUUAUUGGGCGUAAAGCGCGCGUAGGCGGUUUUUUAAGUCUGAUGUGAAAGCCCACGGCUCAACCGUGGAGGGUCAUUGGAAACUGGAAAACUUGAGUGCAGAAGAGGAAAGUGGAAUUCCAUGUGUAGCGGUGAAAUGCGCAGAGAUAUGGAGGAACACCAGUGGCGAAGGCGACUUUCUGGUCUGUAACUGACGCUGAUGUGCGAAAGCGUGGGGAUCAAACAGGAUUAGAUACCCUGGUAGUCCACGCCGUAAACGAUGAGUGCUAAGUGUUAGGGGGUUUCCGCCCCUUAGUGCUGCAGCUAACGCAUUAAGCACUCCGCCUGGGGAGUACGACCGCAAGGUUGAAACUCAAAGGAAUUGACGGGGACCCGCACAAGCGGUGGAGCAUGUGGUUUAAUUCGAAGCAACGCGAAGAACCUUACCAAAUCUUGACAUCCUUUGACAACUCUAGAGAUAGAGCCUUCCCCUUCGGGGGACAAAGUGACAGGUGGUGCAUGGUUGUCGUCAGCUCGUGUCGUGAGAUGUUGGGUUAAGUCCCGCAACGAGCGCAACCCUUAAGCUUAGUUGCCAUCAUUAAGUUGGGCACUCUAAGUUGACUGCCGGUGACAAACCGGAGGAAGGUGGGGAUGACGUCAAAUCAUCAUGCCCCUUAUGAUUUGGGCUACACACGUGCUACAAUGGACAAUACAAAGGGCAGCGAAACCGCGAGGUCAAGCAAAUCCCAUAAAGUUGUUCUCAGUUCGGAUUGUAGUCUGCAACUCGACUACAUGAAGCUGGAAUCGCUAGUAAUCGUAGAUCAGCAUGCUACGAAGAAUACGUUCCCGGGUCU